rnacentral:rRNA from 1 species
GAGUUUGAUCCUGGCUCAGAUUGGACGCUGGCGGCAUGCCUUACACAUGCAAGUCGAACGGCAGCACGGAGCUUGCUCUGGUGGCGAGUGGCGAACGGGUGAGUAAUAUAUCGGAACGUACCCUAGAGUGGGGGAUAACGUAGCGAAAGUUACGCUAAUACCGCAUACGAUCUAAGGAUGAAAGUGGGGGAUCGCAAGACCUCAUGCUCGUGGAGCGGCCGAUAUCUGAUUAGCUAGUUGGUAGGGUAAAAGCCUACCAAGGCAUCGAUCAGUAGCUGGUCUGAGAGGACGACCAGCCACACUGGAACUGAGACACGGUCCAGACUCCUACGGGAGGCAGCAGUGGGGAAUUUUGGACAAUGGGCGAAAGCCUGAUCCAGCAAUGCCGCGUGAGUGAAGAAGGCCUUCGGGUUGUAAAGCUCUUUUGUCAGGGAAGAAACGGUGAGAGCUAAUAUCUCUUGCUAAUGACGGUACCUGAAGAAUAAGCACCGGCUAACUACGUGCCAGCAGCCGCGGUAAUACGUAGGGUGCAAGCGUUAAUCGGAAUUACUGGGCGUAAAGCGUGCGCAGGCGGUUUUGUAAGUCUGAUGUGAAAUCCCC